CCUACGGGUGGCUGCAGUCGAGAAUCUUCGGCAAUGGGCGCAAGCCUGACCGAGCGACGCCGCGUGUGCGAUGAAGGCCUUCGGGUUGUAAAGCACUGUCGAGGGGGAUCAAAGCGCAAGCUUGAGAGAUCCCUGGAGGAAGCACGGGCUAAGUUCGUGCCAGCAGCCGCGGUAAGACGAACCGUGCGAACGUUGUUCGGAAUCACUGGGCUUAAAGGGCGCGUAGGCGGUCGAUCAAGUCCGGGGUGAAAUCCUGCAGCUUAACUGUAGAAGUGCCUUGGAUACUGAUUGGCUCGAGGGAGGUAGGGGUCUGUGGAACUUCUGGUGGAGCGGUGAAAUGCGUUGAUAUCAGAAGGAACGCCGGUGGCGAAAGCGGCAGACUGGACCUCUUCUAACGCUGAGGCGCGAAAGCUAGGGGAGCAAACGGGAUUAGAUACCCC
rnacentral:rRNA from 1 species